CAGUCACUCUAUCAGGUGGCAGUGCAAUAGAUUGACUGGAGAGAAAGGAAGUUUGUUUUAUUAAUAAAAAGCAACUAAACACAGAGCAGACGACUCUCUUCUUCUACCAGCUGCUACACAAUAAUUUAAACUUUGCUA